GUACACUCCUACGGGAGGCAGCAGUGAGGAAUAUUGGACAAUGGGUGGAAGCCUGAUCCAGCCAUCCCGCGUGCAGGAAGACGGCCCUAUGGGUUGUAAACUGCUUUUAUCUGGGGAUAAACCUACUUACGUGUAAGUAGCUGAAGGUACCAGAAGAAUAAGCACCGGCUAACUACGUGCCAGCAGCCGCGGUAAUACGGAGGGUGCAAGCGUUAUCCGGAUUUAUUGGGUUUAAAGGGUCCGUAGGCGGACUGAUAAGUCAGUGGUGAAAUCCGACAGCUUAACUGUCGAACUGCCAUUGAUACUGUUAGUCUUGAGUAAGGUUGAAGUGGCUGGAAUAAGUAGUGUAGCGGUGAAAUGCAUAGAUAUUACUUAGAACACCAAUUGCGAAGGCAGGUCACUAAGUCUUAACUGACGCUGAUGGACGAAAGCGUGGGGAGCGAACAGGAUUAGAAACCCCAGUAGUCCCAUG
rnacentral:rRNA from 1 species